GCCAGUAUGGGUUAGUGGUUUGACAGCUGGACUAGGAUUCUGGGAGGCCAGGGUCCAAAUCCCUGCUCAGCCA